UACGUAGGGGGCAAGCGUUGUCCGGAAUCAUUGGGCGUAAAGCGCGUGUAGGCGGCUUGGUAAGUCUGCUCUGAAAGCCCGGGGCUCAACCCCGGGAGGCGGGUGGAUACUGUCAAGCUCGAGUCCGGAAGAGGAGUGUGGAAUUCCCGGUGUAGCAGUGAAAUGCGUAGAGAUCGGGAGGAACAUCAGUUGCGAAGGCGGCUCUCUGGACCAGCACUGACACUGAGGCACGAAAGCGUGGGGAGCAAACAGG
rnacentral:rRNA from 1 species